UCAGAGCAGAGUGAUGUGCUGCCUGAUGUCCCUCUGCUUCCUCCCUCCCCAGGCACACUGUUGCCUCCACAGGAUGUGAGGCUGGAGGCACAAAACUUCCACAUCCAUCUGCGGUGGGAACCGGCCCCUGGCUCGCCCAGUGGUACCACAUACCAGGUGGAAUGGAGGAGACGAAUCCCUCACUGGACCAAGGCAGAUACCUGCUGGGGGAACAGCACCGGCUCCUCCUGGGCAUGUGAGCUGUAUUUUGACAAGAUCCAUGAUAUCUACUGGGCAAGGGUGAGAGCGGUGGCCAGAGGCGAGCUGUCCAGGUGGGCCUAUUCCAGCGAGCUGCAGCCAUACAGAGACACAAUUGUGGGCCCCCCCAAGUUGUCCUGGCUGUUCCAGGAUCACAUCCUCAGCGUAAAUAUCAUCAUGCCACUCACUCCCUACCGAAGCAAAAACGGCUCUUACAAGCCAGUUGACCAAGUUCUGCUGAAGCUGUGGUACUGGCUGUGUCUGUACGAAGGGGAUGUGCUCGUCCAGCAAGUGCCCUGCAAACAGAGUGGGGAGGAAGGGCCAUGCACCUUCAGGUUCCUCAAGCCCAGCACACAGUACUGUGUCCGGACGGUGGCUGCGGACAUGGCCAAGGAGCAGAGCCGGGAGGCUGAGCAGUGCAUGGUGACACCAGCAGGCCCUGCAGGCUUUCCCUGGGUCGUCGUUGCUGUGCUGAGUGGUGUCUUCCUGCUGCUGAGCGUGGCCGGGCUCUGCUUUGUCCAGCUGUACGUCUUCCCCCGCCCCUCGGAGAUGCAACUCCCCAAAAUACUUGUGAGUGAACAGUCCCCUUCCAGCCUCUGCCCUGCAUGUGCUGCAGCCAAGCUGGCGUCCUCUGCAUUUGCAGAGGGCUCAGCACCUCCUUCAUUCCAC
rnacentral:lncRNA from 1 species